AUUUAGUCCCUCCAUUAAAUUUUCCGUUAGUCAAUAUUAGUUAACUUACUAUUUAAUCCAUUUAUUUUAGUGAAACUAAUUAAUUAGCCAUUAUAUUUUGGAAAAAAACAUUAAUUGGUCUCUGAAAUGUGACUCUGUUAACUAUUUAAUUUUAUAAUUAUUUUUUUUAUACAUAAACUACUUUAAUUCUCUCCCCUUGUUUCUUUUUUAUCGUUUCUUUUUUAUCAUUUCUUAUUUCUCUCUCUAUGUUUCUUUUCCUCUAUAAUCACAUUUUUCUUCCCUUUUUUCUCUAUUUGUUUUCACUUGUCAAUAAAAAU
rnacentral:misc_RNA from 1 species